AUGAGAAGAUCUCAAAAAGAUGCAGCCUUUUGUGGCUCACUGCCCUCCUGUGUGGUCAACUGGGAGCCAUUCUGAGUUCACUGUCCCCAGGGGCAGAGCCCCCUGCCAUAGGAGUUAAUGCCUGGCCAUGGCUAGGGUGAGCUCAAAUUCUGGGCCUAGGGAGAAAGCCUCCCAUGUAGAAGUGCAAGGAAGUGAAGGAAGCCAAGAGGCCAGGUGAUCUGCUGAGUAACUGUAGUUGGGCUCUUUCAGUCCUGGAAAACUGACUUGUCCUUUUUUUCCUUGUUUAGGUUCCAGCUGGGGUGAGAGCAGCUCAGGGAGAAUAACAAAUUGGCUUGUUCUGAAAAACCUUACACCUCAGAUCGAUGGCUCAACUCUGCGCACUCUGUGCAUGCAGCACGGCCCGCUGAUCACAUUCCACCUGAACCUCCCUCACGGAAAUGCUCUGGUCCGCUACAGUUCAAAAGAAGAGGUAGUGAAGGCACAAAAGUCUCUGCACAUGUGUGUACUGGGGAACACUACUAUUCUUGCUGAGUUUGCCAGUGAAGAGGAGAUCAGUCGUUUCUUUGCACAAAGCCAGUCUCUGACCCCUUCUCCCGGCUGGCAGUCUCUCGGGUCCAGCCAGAGCCGGCUGGGCUCCCUCGACUGUUCCCACUCAUUCUCCAGCCGGACCGAUCUCAAUCACUGGAAUGGUGCUGGGCUGUCGGGAACUAACUGUGGAGACCUUCACGGCACUUCACUCUGGGGGACCCCGCAUUAUUCCACAAGCCUGUGGGGUCCUCCAAGCAGCAGCGACCCCCGAGGAAUUAGCAGCCCAUCUCCCAUUAACGCUUUUCUUUCUGUUGACCACCUGGGUGGGGGUGGAGAGUCCAUGUAACAGUGUAGAUGCAGACUCACCGACCGGGACCUCAGACGCGAGGGAAAGGAGCACUAAGUGGGGCUCGCCGCCUGCAGCCAGGGGCCGCCUGUGGGAACAGCUAUUCUCUGCACAUUUUCCACUUUGUUUUCCCCAAAACAUAUCAGUUUGAAUACUUGAAUCAUGCAGGCCAAUAUUAUAAUGUGAAAAGGUAUCUACUCUAUUUACACUCCCAAAUAGCGCCAUACAUGCUAAACCGUAGAGAAUGAGCUCGCUUGUGUCUAUUCAUCAUGUUUAGCCUUUGGAUUCUUUUUUUUUUUUUUUUUUUUCCUUCUAUUCCUCCCCACCCCCGCCCCUUUUUUUCUCUCUUGCAAAACCAUUUUUUGGGCUGAUAACGUAUGAGCUUUUCCCUUUGCACUGAAUGAUGUUCUCUCCGUCUCAUCGGCAGUAUGGGGGGCAGCUGUCCCAGUGUCAAUGUUUACUCAAGGGUGUUCUUAGGAGGCGUGCGCUCUCUACUAUGCCUUGAUGUUGCCUACCUUAUUGUGGUAUCGUGGAGUUUAAAAGAUCAAGUUAGGAUGCUGACUUAGGAUUAUUAAUGAAAGUGUUGCACCAGUUUUUUCAUGUUGUAAAACUAAAGAAUUUCGCUCUGCAGUUUGAAAAACUGUGGCCACAGCUGUGACUUGCAGCCCACCUGCCACCCAGGACGGGCCCUGCACUUUGAAUAGGCUUUCCAUUUUGUUUUGGAGGUUCUCACGUUGAACCUUCUUGUUUACAGAUUUUUUUGUUUGUUUUUUGAGAAAAAAAAUGUUUACUCUUCCAUCAUUUAAAAAAAAUGUAAAAGACAAAAAAAAAUGGAGGAUGAUUUAAAAGAUGCUUUCUAUCUCUGGGAAAAAGGAGCAGCAUUUGGCCAUGUUCUUUUGUUUUUCUAUUCCUGUCCCAAAUCAAAGAGCAUGGUUCUCAGGAAAACCAGUUCCCCAGUUAAAAAAAAAAAAAAAAAAAAAAAAAAAAAAAA
rnacentral:sRNA from 1 species